UACCAGCACCCCGAGUGGUCGGGACGAUUAUUGGGCCUAAAGCAUCCGUAGCCGGCCUUACAAGUCCUCCGUUAAAUCCAGCUGCUUAACAGAUGGGCUGCGGAGGAUACUAUAAGACUAGGAGGCAGGAGAGGCAAGCGGUACUCAGUGGGUAGGGUAAAAUCCGUUGAUCCAUUGAAGACCACCAGUGGCGAAGGCGGCUUGCCAGAAUGCGCUCGACGGUGAGGGAGUGGAAAGCUGGGGGAAGCAAACCGGG
rnacentral:rRNA from 1 species